GCUCUCCCGGAGACGCAGUGCACCUCCCCGCCACCAGGGGGCACUGUCACCCUGGAGCACGACGGCGCCCAGCAGACUCCGCCAGACAAACAGGACUUGCUGGCGUUUCUGGGUUUCUUUCAGAGCCUGAAGGAUUCCUUACGGCACUCGGUCAACAGUGACGGCGUGGAGUGACGGCGUGGAGUGACGGGACCGAUCCAGGGCAACGAAGAGGUGGUUUGUCAAGGAAGAUUGUUUAUUCUACUCUAUUUAAACUGUUUUUUGGAAUGUAUUAUAUUUAUGUUUUUUUUUUUUUUUCACCUGUUUUGAAAAAAUAAUUAUGCAGAUAAUUUUUGUAAUGAUUGUUAUUGACACCGAGUAGCCUUUUUGGCUUUUGAUACUAAAUGGAUUUGUUUCAUAUGUGGUAGAGAAGCGUUUCUGAAGCAGUUUGUUCACAGAGAUUUGCACUGUUCGAGUUUUGAGUCUGUGAACACUAGUGUAAAUAAAGAAUUAUAUAUCCAUUA